UGGGGAAUAUUGCACAAUGGGCGCAAGCCUGAUGCAGCCAUGCCGCGUGUAUGAAGAAGGCCUUCGGGUUGUAAAGUACUUUCAGUCGGGAGGAAGGUGGUAAGGUUAAUAACCUUAUCAAUUGACGUUACCGACAGAAGAAGCACCGGCUAACUCCGUGCCAGCAGCCGCGGUAAUACGGAGGGUGCAAGCGUUAAUCGGAAUUACUGGGCGUAAAGCGCACGCAGGCGGUUGAUUGAGUCAGAUGUGAAAUCCCCGGGCUUAACCCGGGAAUUGCAUCUGAUACUCGUCAGCUAGAGUCUUGUAGAGGGGGGUAGAAUUCCAUGUGUAGCGGUGAAAUGCGUAGAGAUGUGGAGGAAUACCGGUGGCGAAGGCGGCCCCCUGGACAAAGACUGACGCUCAGGUGCGAAAGCGUGGGGAGCAAACAGG
rnacentral:rRNA from 1 species